rnacentral:lncRNA from 1 species
ACCUUCCUCUGCACUCAGGCUCCCUUGCCUUAGCUGCUGUCUGGGAAUCUUUGUAGAGUAGCUAGCUAGCUGCCUCUCUGGGGACCAUAUGCAAAGACUCACUCAACUCUACAUGGACCCCUACACAGACGGGCUCUCUUCUCAGCCUCUCACCUGAAGGCGCUUCAAACAUCAAUGCCAAGAUCUUUGCCUUCUCCACCUCUAGAACUGUAAGAAGAUUCUUCAAUGUGCAAAUUGCCUGGUCUGUGGCUGCCAGUACACAGCAGAUGAGCCAGAAACUCCAUCUGUCCAUUUGACUCAGUGACCUUGUGCCUCAGAAUGAUGGAGCCCAACUCUGGG